rnacentral:ncRNA from 1 species
UAAAUAGAGGUGCGCAGCGGAUCAGUACUCCUUUCCGUUUGGAAAGAUGGGGGUUCCGGAAGGGAAAAAAGGCCAAUGCGCCGAAGCUUUUGUUUGCCCCAUUCAAACUGAGGCUGGGAUGUCCGUGAAUAAUGGACGUCCUGUCAUGAAAGAGGAUCUUUCGUGGAGCGCUAUUG